UUCAGAGCUAACUGGUUUGAUGCUGAGACAAUGUGUCAAGCAGCCGGAAGCCAUCUGGCUUCUAUUGAAACGGAUACAGAACGACUUUAUAUAAACCAAUAUAUUGACUUUUUACACGGCAGUACCUACAAAUUUCACUGGAUCGGUGCAUUCAACUAUAUUGAUGGUACUUACAUGUGGGCUGGCACUCAGAAAGGUUUAGGUCAGAUACCUUGGUAUACUAAUGAACCAUCAAGACGACCAGGUGAACACUGUCUAAAGAUGGUACAGGCCAGUCAAUCGCAGUUUGGUGAUUACGAAUGCGAUCAACCAGAAGCAUUCGUCUGUGAACUCGAAUUUAAUUCAACAACAGUACACCAAUAACAAAUAUAAUUUGCAUGGUUUUCUUGUCUGCAAUAUCACUAUUGUGAAAGCAGUCAUUAAAAGACCUGUCCGACCAGUCCAUUAUGGUUGUCAUUCAAUUAUCAUAUAUGUUUACAUUGCUUUGAAAGUAAAACG